rnacentral:rRNA from 1 species
UACGGAGGGUGCAAGCGUUGCUCGGAAUUAUUGGGCGUAAAGGGUAGGUAGGUGGUCUCAUUUGUCUGGGGUGAAAGCCUUGAGCUUAACUCAAGAAGUGCCCCAGAAACGGUGGGACUAGAGUCCUGGAGAGGGUCGUGGAAUUCCCGGUGUAGCGGUGAAAUGCGUAGAGAUCGGGAGGAACACCGGUGGCGAAGGCGGCCACCUGGCUCGGUACUGACGCUGAGGCGCGACAGCGUGGGGAGCAAACAGG